GCAUGAAGUUGGAAUCACUAGUAAUCGCGGAUCAGCAUGCCGCGGUGAAUGCGUUCUCGGGCCUUGUACACACCGCCCGUCACACCAUGAGAGUCGGGAACACCCGAAGUCCGUAGCCUAACCGCAAGGGGGCGCGGCCGAAGGUGGGCUCGAUAAUUGGGGUGAAGUCGUAACAAGGUAUC
rnacentral:rRNA from 1 species